AGGUAGGGUGGCCGAGUAGGUAGCAGGCUGUAGACCUGCCCACGGGGCAGGCGCCCCCCCUCCCAA
rnacentral:tRNA from 1 species